UACGAAGGGGGGCGAGCGUUGUUCGGAAUCACUGGGCGUAAAGGGCGCGUAGGCGGCCCUUUUUGUCGCGUGUGAAAGCCCCGGGCUCAACCUGGGAACGGCGCGCGAGACGGGAGGGCUGGAGUUCGGGAGAGGAGGCGUGGAAUUCCCAGUGUAGAGGUGGAAAUUCGAUAGAUAUUGGGAAGAACACCGGUGGCGAAGG
rnacentral:rRNA from 1 species